UAUACCAGAGAACUAAUCCCGUCAAGUUGAAGAAUAGAUGGAUGAAGGCAACCUGGAGGGGACAAAAAGAUAUUAGUAUUAAGUUCAAAACAACUGCCUGAAACCUAAAAUGCAAGCUGUUCUAGUCUGAGAAUGCCAUUUAAUACAUCUGUCACACGUGCUGUACCUGAACAGAAUUGCUGAGGGCUUCAGCAGGACUGGCUAGAGCUGCCAACACAGCAGUAGUGGUGGUUCCGAUGUUGGACCCCAAGAACAAUGGGUACGCUCUUUCCAUGCUAAUGACUCCCACACCUGUGAAAUGAUAGACACUUAUGAAAAUAUCCAGAGGUUUGGUGUAAUCAUGUAGGGGUAAUGUCAUAAAAGACACUAAGUUUUCCCAGGAGCAGUAACCCAUAGCAACCAAUCUGCAGGUAGAAUUUACUGGUCACCUGUUUAAAAGCAAAUAUCUUAUUGGUUACUAUGGGUUACUGCUCCUGGGCAAACUUCAGCAUUCCAGAGUAAUUAUUUCAGUUGCGCAUGAGUUUCUUGGCACAAACUGUAGCAUGUGUGGGUGCAAUGCACGAGGGCAGCCCUGUAGGUAAUGCCUGACCAAGACUUGUGCAUGCUCGGUCUCAGUCAUAGUACAAUGUACAAAUGCGUUAUGUACAGUGCCUAGCAAUGCCCCUGAGAAUCAUAAAUGAGGCCUCGUCACUUGGGUAAGUGAUUAAAUGGCAAUAAUGAGUGAGACUAUAUAUUAUUAACUUUUAGUGUGACAGUUAAUGAUCUACGAGGCAGUUAUUCUUAUCGUCUACAGAAAAUAAUGACAAUCUUUUUACAUUCCAGACAUCUGACUACCUCCCACCCCAGUGAAGUGCAACAGAGAUUUAUGGAUUAAAUAUUGUCCUGCUGGUGUUAAAGCAGGUCAUCUUUGUAGCUGUGAUUCCUGUGCCUGGAGAUCUGCAUUCUUACCCAUCACUGACAGACCAAUCGAAUGUCUAUGUUAAAUCUAAAGGCUGCAGUGUCCUUUGAUAACCAUGCUGCUCUCAAUGCAAAGGUUCUAUAACGAGAACAAAGCUCAGCACAGAACCAGGAAGUAGAUUAGAGCAAGAUGGCGGCACAGAACCAGGAAGUGAGAGGAAGUUGGAUGAAGUUCUGUUUAUAGCCACCCGUCGUGUUUUCUGCUUUGAAGCCGCACAUCCAUUUAAGAGAAAUCAGCCCUGAACACGACUGUCAGCAGGCAGGAGUCCUGCCAAAAAGUCGCAUCUCCUUCAGGCAGAACCAUGAAACAUAGAAAGAAAGAGCUGUCGGGCCCUGCGGUGAGAGGGGCCACAAGUCUGCACACUGACUCUGAGCCUCGGAUUGCAGAACCUGCCCCCCUCACUGUGUUUGGAAACCAGCAUGGUAGCAUACGUAUCACAUGUAUUAUAUGCAAGAGGAAAUCCUGCCUCCCUGCAAACCCGGGACAUGUUACAGAGGGAGGCUCAGUGAGGAGAGAAGAGAAAUGAAAUUUACACAGAAGCCCCCCCGUCUCUAUUAAACAUGCUGCUCUUUUAAUGAAAGGUUUUCCCUGUGUCUCCUUGAGAAUCUUGCCUGAACGGUGCAUAAUUGAUGUGAGUUUGCCUUUAAUAUCCUGUUCCCCGACUCCAUCCCAGCACCACCGCCAAAGUGCCGUCCAAUCUAAUAAAGGGGCCCUGGAAUGUUCAUUUUAAUAAAGAGAGUAAUGCAAGUGGGGAGGGGAGCACAGGGGCCCCCGUUAGUCCUUCCUCCAAAGUGGCAGUUUGUGUAUAAAUGUGUGUAUAUAGGCAGCUGUGUGGGGGUAUAACUGGGGCACAAGGGGUAUGGGGUACAUGCACACACAACUCAAAGAGGCAGUUGUUGGCACAGUACCCAGGGCAGGAGUCAGGGCCACUGAUGAGUUAUUGUGUUUCUACCAACUGAAUGGGAUGGGUGGCAUCUCAGAUAUUAAACCUAAUACCCAACUUAGCAGCUAAAAAUAAUACUGGCACCAAUAGCUACUGCAGUGCACCUGCCUGGAUUCUACAGAGUCCUGUGGCAAAUUUGCCCCAAAAACUUCACCUAACCCACCCAGCUGACGCUCCUGACGUUACCCUGCAUGCGGCACAGUACCUGUAUUACUCACCAGCCGGGUGCCCUGCUAAAUCACUACACUGGCAUUAGCAUGAACCCCCUCUGUGCCAGUCUAUGCCCUCCCAAAAUAACCUUUAUAACAGGAAGAUGGUGCCUUCAAAUGGUUAAACGGAUUUAUGAUGUCGUCUUUAUUGCUAAAUGACACUGUUAACACUGCAAAUAAUUCACUGUACAAUAUAAAAUGUCAUUCCUGAACCAGC